AGGCCCGUAGCUCAGUUGGGGAGAGCGUAUGUAGCAUCCCAGAGCCACAAACUUGACUACAAUUGGUCCGAAGGUUUGGGGUUAUCGAUUUAACCAUAAUGUCGCGGGUUCGAUCCCCGCCGGGCCAG